AUUAGAUCAGUGAGUUGCCUGACAUUUCUUCUCAUUGUGAUGGCAGAAGUUCUAGAUGGCAAGCCAGAUUGUGAUCUGAUGCCAUCAAAAGUCACAAGAACUGGCCGGGCAAGGUGGCUCACGCCUGUAAUCCCAGCACUUUGGGAGGUCAAGGCUGGCGGAUCACGAGGUCAGGAGAUUGAGACCAUCCUGGCUAACACAGUGAAACCACGUCUCUACUAAAAAUACAAAAAAUUAGCCAGGCAUGGUGGCGGUCGCCUGUAAUCCCAGCUACUCGGGAGGCUGAGGCAGGAGAAUGGCGUGAACCCGGGAGGCGGAACUUGCCGUGAGCCGAGAUCACGCCACUGCACUCCAGCCUGGGCGACAGAGUGAGACUCUGUCUCAAAAAAAAAAAGUCACGAGAACUGUCUGGAAAUGUGAGCAAUUUCAAGCGAGAGAUUAGUUGUUUUACAAAGUUCAUUAAAAUAUGCAUCAACCAUUCUUCAUCUCUUUGAAUAAAGGUAGGACACUAUGUAAUUUUAUGUAGAUUUCUUCCAGCUGAUAUUAAAUUUUGAAUGCAGAACUAAAUGAAUUUGUUUGUGUUGUCAGCUUUGGAUACCUGAUGUUAUAAAACUGCAGUUCUAAUUGGAAAUGUGAUUCUGAUAUACUCCCUUUAGGAGUUUGACUGUUUUACUUACUUUAUGAAGCAAGAAAUAAUAAUAAAAUUUUAGCUCUCAUAAUCAAGAGCCAUUUGAAUACUCAUAAAUUAAAAAUAUUUAGAUGUCAAGACAGUAAAGCCUAUGACAUGAAAAGGACCAGAUAACUAGUUAAAUGAAUUUCCAUGGGUCAAGUUGCACAAGUAACAUAGUCUAGAAGUGUGGAUUAAUUUUCACUCCGAUAACGCGUUAUCUUGCUUAAAUGUGAUUAAAAAUCCCCACUGGGUUCUAUGUUAAUCUUUCCUCCAAAGAUUUGGAUCUUAUCAAGUUUGGGAGCUACUUUGGAAGUAGAGAGUGCUCUCCAAAAGAACUCUCAAGAGGCAGUAUCAGUUUUUACAAUCUACUCUGGGGUAAUGAGAGAGUGGUUGAGUUUACAUAGAUUAUCACUUAUGGCUGCCUCCCUGGCUUGACAUUGUACAGGGGGAGAGCUCAAAGCUCAGUGAGGCUCAGACGAGGUCAGACACAGAGAAAUUUGGAGACCAUUUUUAGUGAUUUGACUUAAGAUGCUUUAGGUUUUGUUUUGUUUGUAUUAUCUUCUUUUAAUGCCUCAAAAAUUUCCCUCUCUAUAACGAGCCUUUGCUCUAAAAAAUUCCCUAUGUAAUUUAUUUAGCAAACAUGCAUUGAGUGUCUGUCAUGUGCCAAUUACUAUGCUGGGGGCUGGGGAUGUAGCAGUGAAUGAGGACAAUGAAAUGCUUGCCCUUCUAGGACUGACAGUGGCGAAGAGGUUAGCAUUAACUAGACAAUACACAAGAGCAAUAAGGGCCCUGAAAAUAUCUUUCUUCCUUAAAUACUGUCUUUCACUCCAUUCUUCUCUUAUGGGACUUAAAGGAUAUGUUCAAGUUCUCCUGUUACUUUAUAUUUGAAUACAAUGAACAUUCAUUUAUUGAUUCAUUUACUCUCUUCUUUCAAUAAGUAUAAAUUGACUAAGUCAUCUUUCUAACAAUUGAAUAAUAGUAAGAUUCAUUAGUCCUGCCCUCAAGCAUCCUAUGGCCUAGGGUGGGAGAUAAUAUAUGUAUAUACAUCAUGAUGAUUUUGCCACUCCAUACAGUUAUGAAAAUACAGAUAAAAGGUUAUUUCCAAUUAACAGAGUCAGGAAAGCCUCCCUGGAUGAAGAAGCUGUAAACUGGGCCUUAUGAUUAGAGCGGUUAUAUGCAUAUGGCAAAAGGAGAGAAGCUAUUCCAGGUAAAAGCCACAAAAAUAAAGGCAGAAAGUUGGGAAUUCAGAAUCAACAAAGGAGCAGCAACCAUUCAGUCUGGCUGACUUCUCAUCUCAUUUUUGAUAGAGUGGGUUAGGGAUGAGGUAGAGGUAUGGAAAGAAAAGAGGAUAGUUAUAAGUGACUAAUAAAUGUUUGUUGCCAAGGACCACCACAGAAUCCUCAUUAUUUGGAAGCUCCUUUAUGGAAUAUGCUUUGAAAUUUAGGGUGUUCUACAACUACCCCACCACACAGGGCUAGUCCUGUAAGUUUCAAUUAUCUGAAGUUAUUCUAGUUACACAGGAAUGCACAAUAUUAAAAUUAACAGAUAUUGAGGCCAAAUAAUCAACAAUAGCUGGAAGCAUGUACCUUGGAAAGAUAUGUCCUCAUUUUGAAAUUGAAUCCCAGACAAAACUCCUGGAAUUUCAGGUUUGGUUACAAAUAUUGAACUUGUAUGAAGUUCACCGAAGUUCAUUUCCAUGGAGCCUGGAGUGAGUUAGGCAUAAAUCAUAACCAGCCGAGGUGGAAGCCCAUAUGCAUACAUUCAUAGGUACAGACAGACAAACCCCAGUCCUUCAUAGCUUCAGAUGGAAACCAUAUGAAAUGUCAUGGCCUUGCACAGCUUCAGCCAGAAGCCUGGGCAGCUCUGUGCCUUCCGCUGGGGCUCUCUCAGUGGUUUUAUUUCCGAUUGAUCCUGAGUGUAUAGCAGGGUGCCCAACCUGCCCAUGGAAACUAAGAAGCUUGAGGAAAUAGCUGGGUCGAAACUAUGAAACUGUGCUCACUGUUCAAACCUAUGUUCUGUAAAAUUUACAACAGAUUCAGUCACCUCACAUUUCCAUGUAAAUUACUGCUCGAGAGGGAAGCUUGUCUUGCUGGGGCUUCCACUGUUGAAUUUUUAAAAUUGACAACACCUUCUGUUCCUAGCUGGAAUUAUGAGACAAAGAAAAAAGAGAACGAGAGGGAGAAAAUGUUCUAUCUUACUUCAACAGGCUCCGUUUUAUUGCAGGUAAUCUAUUAUGUUAGCAUUUUGAUUUACCUGUAAAAUACAUACAUUUAUCACAGUUUCUAAUUGUUUUGUGAAUGGUAUUUAGCUUAUAAAAGAAUAAAAGCUGUGACUAGCAAUGCUUUUGCUACACUUUCCUGGUUUAGUAAAUCUUAAGAAAAGUUCAGCAUUGCCUCCACUGGGACUUUUCUUCUUUAUGGAAACCAAAGGUGCAAACUUUAGAAAUAAAUAGAUGCUGAAGAGCGUCUAAUAUGAAUGUGCUUGAAUAAUUUACAUGAUGCUUUGGUGUUUUGUUGAAGAACAUUAGACAGAAAGACUUGUGUAAUAUGGCCUAAUGUGUAUUUAUUACAUGAACUUAAAA
rnacentral:lncRNA from 1 species